UCGAUUGAGUUUGAUCAUGGCUCAGAACGAACGUUGGCGGCGUGGAUUAGGCAUGCAAGUCGAACGAAUCCCGGUAGCAAUAUCGGGGGAAGUGGCGAAAGGGGCAGUAAGGCGUGGAUAACCUACCCUGGGGACUGGGAUAGCCUUCCUAACGGAAGGGUAAUACUGGGCGAUCUGACGAGACGACAUCUUCUUGUCAGGAAAUGAAUUUCGCCUCGGGAGGGGUCCACGUGCUAUUAGCUUGUUGGCGGGGUAACGGCCCACCAAGGCGAAGAUGGCUAGCGGGUGUGAGAGCACGACCCGCGCCACUGGCACUGAGACACUGGCCAGACUCCUACGGGAGGCUGCAGUCGAGGAUCUUCGGCAAUGGGCGCAAGCCUGACCGAGCGACGCCGCGUGUGCGAUGAAGGCCUUCGGGUUGUAAAGCACUGUCGAGGGGGAGAAAGCCGCAAGGUUGAUCGACCCCUGGAGGAAGCACGGGCUAAGUUCGUGCCAGCAGCCGCGGUAAGACGAACCGUGCGAACGUUGUUCGGAAUCACUGGGCUUAAAGGGCGCGUAGGCGGGUGGCCAAGUCGGUGGUGAAAUCCUCCAGCUUAACUGGAGAACGGCCUUCGAUACUGGUCGCCUUGAGGGGGGUAGGGGCAGACGGAACUUCCGGUGGAGCGGUGAAAUGCGUA
rnacentral:rRNA from 1 species